rnacentral:tRNA from 1 species
UCCCAGGUGGCUCAGUGGUAAAGAAUUUGCCUGACAAGCAGGAGACCUGGGUUCGAUCUCUGGGUUGGGAA